rnacentral:rRNA from 1 species
GACGAACGCUGGCGGCGUGCUUAACACAUGCAAGUCGAACGGAAAGGCCCUGCUUUUGUGGGGUGCUCGAGUGGCGAACGGGUGAGUAACACGUGAGUAACCUGCCCUUGACUUUGGGAUAACUUCAGGAAACUGGGGCUAAUACCGGAUAGGAGCUCCUGCUGCAUGGUGGGGGUUGGAAAGUUUCGGCGGUUGGGGAUGGACUCGCGGCUUAUCAGCUUGUUGGUGGGGUAGUGGCUUACCAAGGCUUUGACGGGUAGCCGGCCUGAGAGGGUGACCGGCCACAUUGGGACUGAGAUACGGCCCAGACUCCUACGGGAGGCAGCAGUGGGGAAUAUUGCACAAUGGGCGGAAGCCUGAUGCAGCAACGCCGCGUGCGGGAUGACGGCCUUCGGGUUGUAAACCGCUUUCGCCUGUGACGAAGCGUGAGUGACGGUAAUGGGUAAAGAAGCACCGGCUAACUACGUGCCAGCAGCCGCGGUGAUACGUAGGGUGCGAGCGUUGUCCGGAUUUAUUGGGCGUAAAGGGCUCGUAGGUGGUUGAUCGCGUCGGAAGUGUAAUCUUGGGGCUUAACCCUGAGCGUGCUUUCGAUACGGGUUGACUUGAGGAAGGUAGGGGAGAAUGGAAUUCCUGGUGGAGCGGUGGAAUGCGCAGAUAUCAGGAGGAACACCAGUGGCGAAGGCGGUUCUCUGGGCCUUUCCUGACGCUGAGGAGCGAAAGCGUGGGGAGCGAACAGGCUUAGAUACCCCGGUAGUCCACGCUGUAAACGGUGGGUACUAGGUGUGGGGUCCAUUCCACGGGUUCCGUGCCGUAGCUAACGCUUUAAGUACCCCGCCUGGGGAGUACGGCCGCAAGGCUAAAACUCAAAGGAAUUGACGGGGCCCCGCACAAGCGGCGGAGCAUGCGGAUUAAUUCGAUGCAACGCGUAGAACCUUACCUGGGUUUGACAUGGAUCGGGAGUGCUCAGAGAUGGGUGUGCCUCUUUUGGGGUCGGUUCACAGGUGGUGCAUGGCUGUCGUCAGCUCGUGUCGUGAGAUGUUGGGUUAAGUCCCGCAACGAGCGCAACCCUUGUUCACUGUUGCCAGCACGUUAUGGUGGGGACUCAGUGGAGACCGCCGGGGUCAACUCGGAGGAAGGUGGGGAUGACGUCAAGUCAUCAUGCCCCUUAUGUCCAGGGCUUCACGCAUGCUACAAUGGCUGGUACAGAGAGUGGCGAGCCUGUGAGGGUGAGCGAAUCUCGGAAAGCCGGUCUCAGUUCGGAUUGGGGUCUGCAACUCGACCUCAUGAAGUCGGAGUCGCUAGUAAUCGCAGAUCAGCAACGCUGCGGUGAAUACAUUCCCGGG